rnacentral:rRNA from 1 species
GAUGAACGCUGGCGGCGUGCCUAAUACAUGCAAGUCGAGCGAACGGACGAGAAGCUUGCUUCUCUGAUGUUAGCGGCGGACGGGUGAGUAACACGUGGAUAACCUACCUAUAAGACUGGGAUAACUUCGGGAAACCGGAGCUAAUACCGGAUAAUAUUUUGAACCGCAUGGUUCAAAAGUGAAAGACGGUUUUGCUGUCACUUAUAGAUGGAUCCGCGCUGCAUUAGCUAGUUGGUAAGGUAACGGCUUACCAAGGCAACGAUGCAUAGCCGACCUGAGAGGGUGAUCGGCCACACUGGAACCGGGACACCGGCCAGACUCCCACGGGAGGCCGCAGGAGGGAAUCUUCCGCAAUGGGCGAAAGCCCGACGGAGGAACGCCGCGUGAGUGAAGAAGGUUUUUGGAUCGUAAAACUCUGUUAUUAGGGAAGAAAAAAUGUGUAAGUAACUAUGCACGUUUUGACGGUACCUAAUCAGAAAGCCCCGGCUAACUACGUG